AGCCGAGCGGUAGGGUUUCUUCGGAAACCUGAGAGCGGCGCACGGGUGCGGAACACGUGUGCAACCUACCUUUAUCAGGGGGAUAGCCUUUCGAAAGGAAGAUUAAUACCCCAUAAUAUAUUAGAUGGCAUCAUUUGAUAUUGAAAACUCCGGUGGAUAGAGAUGGGCACGCGCAAGAUUAGAUAGUUGGUGAGGUAACGGCUCACCAAGUCAGUGAUCUUUAGGGGGCCUGAGAGGGUGAUCCCCCACACUGGUACUGAGACACGGACCAGACUCCUACGGGAGGCAGCAGUGAGGAAUAUUGGACAAUGGGUGAGAGCCCGAUCCAGCCAUCCCGCGUGAAGGAUGACGGCCCUAUGGGUUGUAAACUUCUUUUGUAUAGGGAUAAACCUUUCCACGUGUGGAAAGCUGAAGGUACUAUACGAAUAAGCACCGGCUAACUCCGUGCCAGCAGCCGCGGUAAUACGGAGGGUGCAAGCGUUAUCCGGAUUUAUUGGGUUUAAAGGGUCCG
rnacentral:rRNA from 1 species